UACAGAGGGGGCAAGCGUUGUUCGGAAUUACUGGGCGUAAAGGGCGCGUAGGCGGCCUUCUAAGUCGAACGUGAAAUCCCCGGGCUCAACCCGGGAACUGCGUCCGAUACUGGAAGGCUUGAAUCCGGGAGAGGGAUGUGGAAUUCCAGGUGUAGCGGUGAAAUGCGUAGAUAUCUGGAGGAACACCGGUGGCGAAGGCGGCACUCUGGGCCGGUACUGACGCUGAGGAGCGAAAGUGUGGGGAGCGAACAGG
rnacentral:rRNA from 1 species